rnacentral:rRNA from 1 species
AGAGUUUGAUCCUGGCUCAGGAUGAACGCUGGCGGCGUGCUUAACACAUGCAAGUCGAACGAUCCUUCGGGAUAGUGGCGGACGGGUGAGUAACGCGUGGGAAUCUGCCCUCAGGAGGGGGAUAACGGCUGGAAACGGCCGCUAAUACCCCAUAUGCCGAGAGGUGAAAUGAAUUUCGCCUGAGGAUGAGCCCGCGUCUGAUUAGCUAGUUGGUGGGGUAAUGGCCUACCAAGGCAACGAUCAGUAGCUGGUCUGAGAGGAUGAUCAGCCACACUGGGACUGAGACACGGCCCAGACUCCUACGGGAGGCAGCAGUGGGGAAUUUUCCGCAAUGGGCGAAAGCCUGACGGAGCAACGCCGCGUGAGGGAUGAAGGCCUCUGGGCUGUAAACCUCUUUUCUCAAGGAAGAAGACCUGACGGUACUUGAGGAAUAAGCCACGGCUAAUUCCGUGCCAGCAGCCGCGGUAAUACGGGAGUGGCAAGCGUUAUCCGGAAUUAUUGGGCGUAAAGCGUCCGCAGGCGGCCUUGUAAGUCUGUUGUUAAAGCGUGGAGCUCAACUCCAUUUAAGCAAUGGAAACUACAAGGCUGGAGUGUGGUAGGGGCAGAGGGAAUUCCCGGUGUAGCGGUGAAAUGCGUAGAUAUCGGGAAGAACACCAGUGGCGAAGGCGCUCUGCUGGGCCAUAACUGACGCUCAUGGACGAAAGCCAGGGGAGCGAAAGGGAUUAGAUACCCCUGUAGUCCUGGCCGUAAACGAUGAACACUAGGUGUCGGGGGAAUCGACCCCCUCGGUGUCGUAGCCAACGCGUUAAGUGUUCCGCCUGGGGAGUACGCACGCAAGUGUGAAACUCAAAGGAAUUGACGGGGGCCCGCACAAGCGGUGGAGUAUGUGGUUUAAUUCGAUGCAACGCGAAGAACCUUACCAGGGUUUGACAUCCUGCGAACCCCUGAGAAAUCGGGGGGUGCCUUCGGGAGCGCAGAGACAGGUGGUGCAUGGCUGUCGUCAGCUCGUGUCGUGAGAUGUUGGGUUAAGUCCCGCAACGAGCGCAACCCACGUCUUUAGUUGCCAGCAUUCAGUUGGGCACUCUAGAGAGACCGCCGGUGAUAAACCGGAGGAAGGUGUGGAUGACGUCAAGUCAUCAUGCCCCUUACAUCCUGGGCUACACACGUACUACAAUGCUACGGACAUAGGGCAGCAAGCUCGCGAGAGUUAGCAAAUCCCAUAAACCGUGGCUCAGUUCAGAUCGUAGGCUGCAACUCGCCUACGUGAAGGAGGAAUCGCUAGUAAUCGCAGGUCAGCAUACUGCGGUGAAUACGUUCCCGGGCCUUGUACACACCGCCCGUCACACCAUGGAAGUUGGCCAUGCCCGAAAUCGUUACUCCAACCCUU